GCCGGGAUGGUGGAAUGGCAGACACGUACGUUUAAGGGGCGUAUGGGGAAACCCGUGGGGGUUCGAGUCCCCCUCCCGGCA
rnacentral:tRNA from 1 species